rnacentral:rRNA from 1 species
GACGAACGCUGGCGGCGUGCCUAAUACAUGCAAGUAGAACGCUGAAGAGAGGAGCUUGCUCUUCUUGGAUGAGUUGCGAACGGGUGAGUAACGCGUAGGUAACCUGCCUUUUAGCGGGGGAUAACUAUUGGAAACGAUAGCUAAUACCGCAUAACAAUGGAUGACACAUGUCAUUUAUUUGAAAGGGGCAAUUGCUCUACUACAAGAUGGACCUGCGUUGUAUUAGCUAGUAGGUGAGGUAAUGGCUCAACUAGGCGACGAUUCAUAGCCGACCUGAGAGGGGGAUCGGACCAAAUGGGACUGGGACACGGCCCAGAAUCCUGAGGGAGGCAGCAGGAGGGAAUCUUCGGCAAUGGGGCCAACGCUGACCGAGCAACGCCGCGUGAGGGGAGAAAGGUUUCGGAUCGUAAAGCUCUGUUGUAAGUCGAGAACGAGAGUGGGAGUGGACAGUUCACGCUGUGACGGUAGCUUACCAGAAAGGCACGGCUAACUACGUG